GAUGAACGCUGGCGGCGUGCCUAAUACAUGCAAGUCGAGCGAACUGAUUAGAAGCUUGCUUCUAUGACGUUAGCGGCGGACGGGUGAGUAACACGUGGGCAACCUGCCUGUAAGACUGGGAUAACUUCGGGAAACCGAAGCUAAUACCGGAUAGGAUCUUCUCCUUCAUGGGAGAUGAUUGAAAGAUGGUUUCGGCUACCACUUACAGAUGGGCCCGCGGUGCAUUAGCUAGUUGGUGAGGUAACGGCUCACCAAGGCAGCGAUGCAUAGCCGACUAGAGAGGUGGAUCGGCCACACUGGUACAGAGACACGGCCCAGACUCCUACGGGAGGCAGCAGUAGGGAAUCUUCCGCAAUGGACGAAAGUCUGACGUAGCAACGCCGCGUGAGUGAUGAAGGCUUUCGGGUCGUAAAACUCUGUUGUUAGGGAAGAACAAGUACGAGAGUAACUGCUCGUACCUUGACGGUACCUAACCAGAAAGCCACGGCUAACUACGUGCCAGCCGCCGCAGUAACAC
rnacentral:rRNA from 1 species